rnacentral:rRNA from 1 species
CCUACGGGUAGCAGCAGUGAGGAAUAUUGGUCAAUGGGCGGGAGCCUGAACCAGCCAAGUCGCGUGAGGGAAGAAGGUACUGAGUAUUGUAAACCUCUUUUGCCAGGGGACAAAGGCGGCCACGGGUGGCCGUAAGAGGGUACCUGGAGAGAAAGCAUCGGCUAACUCCGUGCCAGCAGCCGCGGUAAUACGGAGGAUGCGAGGGUUAUCCGGUUUUAUUGGGUUAAAAGGGUGCGCAGGCGGCGUGUCAAGUCAGCGGUAAAAUGUAGGGGCUAAACCGCGGCCGGCAGUUGAAACUGGCAGGCUCGAGUUGGAUAGAAGUAUGCGGAAUUCGUGGUGUAGCGGUGAAAUGAAUAGAUAUCACGAAGAACCCCGAGUGCGAAGGCAGCAUACCGGCUCCACACUGACGCUGAGGCACGAAAGCGUGGGUAUCGAACAGGAUUAGAUACCCGAGUAGUC